CCCACCAAAGGAGAUGGAGUUCACCUACAUGACUCCUACCAGGAC
rfam:Chaetura pelagica isolate M959 contig27597, whole genome shotgun sequence.